GCGGGUGUGGCGGAAUUGGCAGACGCGCUAGAUUUAGGUUCUAGUGUCCAAUGGACGUAUGGGUUCAAGUCCCUUCUCCCGCA
rfam:Lactobacillus mellifer strain Bin4 genomic scaffold Bin4_scaffold1, whole genome shotgun sequence.